rnacentral:rRNA from 1 species
CUGGGUAAGUCGGGACCUAAGGCGAGGCCGAAAGGCGUAGUCGAUGGACAACAGGUAGAGAUUCCUGUACCCGUAUAUAUGUGAAGGAAUGACGGAGAGAGGAAGCUGCAGCCAGCGGCUGGAAGAGCUGGUGCAAGCGAGAUAUCGGGAUGGCAGGCAAAUCCACCAUCCGAAACGAGAAGGCGUGAAGCGUACGGAAAGCUACGGCGAGUACGGAAGGCAGUGGAGGAACUUCCAAGAAAAGUUUCUAACGUUAAGUAUAUAUGGCCCGUACCGAAAAUGGACACACAUGGGUGAGGAGAGAAUCCUAAGGUGAGCGAGAGAACUAUAGCUAAGGAACUCUGCAAAAUGACUCCGUAACUUAGGGAGAAGGAGUGCUCAUAGAGAUAUGAGCCGCAGUGAAACGGCCCAAGCGACUGUUUACCAAAAACACAGCUCUCUGCUAAGCCGCAAGGCGAAGUAUAGGGGGUGACGCCUGCCCGGUGCUGGAAGGUUAAGGGGAGGGGUUAACGCAAGUGAAGCCCUGAACUGAAGCCCCAGUAAACGGCGGCCGUAACUAUAACGGUCCUAAGGUAGCGAAAUUCCUUGUCAGGUAAGUUCUGACCCGCACGAAAGGCGUAACGAUUUGGGCGCUGUCUCAGCUGUAGACUCGGUGAAGUCUUAGUACCUGUGAAGAUGCAGGUUACCCGCGACUAGACGGAAAGACCCCAUGGAGCUUCACUGCAGGUUGAUAUUGGGAUUUGAUGCAGCAUGUACAGGAUAGGUAGGAGGCAAAGAGAUGGAUACGCCAGUAUUCAAGGAGCCGCUGUUGGGAUACUACCCCUGUUGUAUUGGAUUUCUAACCGGACGACGUAGAGCCGUUGACGGGACAGUGUCAGUCGGGCAGUUUGACUGGGGCGGUCGCCUCCCAAAGAGUAACGGAGGCGCCCAAAGAUACCCUCAGCUUGGAUGGAAACCAAGCGCAGAGUGCAAAGGCAAAAGGGUGUUUGACUGCGAGACCCACAAGUCGAGCAGGGACGAAAGUCGGGCUUAGUGAUCCGGCGGUGCUGAAUGGAAAGGCCGUCGCUCAACGGAUAAAAGCUACCCUGGGGAUAACAGGCUGAUCUCCCCCAAGAGUUCACAUCGACGGGGAGGUUUGGCACCUCGAUGUCGGCUCAUCGCAUCCUGGAGCUGAAGUCGGUUCCAAGGGUUGGGCUGUUCGCCCAUUAAAGCGGUACGCGAGCUGGGUUCAGAACGUCGUGAGACAGUUCGGUCCCUAUCUGUCGUGGGCGCAGGAAAUUUGAGAAGAGCUGUCCUCAGUACGAGAGGACCGGGAUGGACGCAUCAAUGGUGGACCAGUUGUCACGCCAGUGGCAUAGCUGGGUAGCUAAAUGCGGAAGGGAUAAACGCUGAAGGCAUCUAAGUGUGAAACCCACUUCAAGAUGAGAUUUCCCAUUGCGCAAGCAAGUAAGACCCCUUAAAGACGAUAAGGUAGAUAGGUCAGGAGUGUAAGCAUGGUGACAUGUUAAGCGGACUGAUACUAAUAGGUCGAGGGCUUGACCG